GUCCACGCCGUAACGAUGAUUACUCGCUGUUGGCGAUACACAGUCAGCGGCUAAGCAAAGCAAUAAGUAAUCCACCUGGGGAGUACGGCCGCAAGGUUGAAACUCAAAGGAAUUGACGGGGCCCGCACAAGCGGAGGAACAUGUGGUUUAAUUCGAUGAUACGCGAGGAACCUUACCUGGGCUUAAAUGUAGAGUGCAUUUUUUAGAGAUAGAAAUUCCCUUCGGGGCUUUCUGCAAGGUGCUGCAUGGUUGUCGU
rnacentral:rRNA from 1 species